rnacentral:lncRNA from 1 species
GUUACUUUCAUGAUAAAAUUGUUUACGAAUUAGAACGGGAUUGAAAUGUCCAAAGGCAAUGUGCCCUCCUUUAUUGGCAAGUAGGAAGUUACACCUUAAGACAUCAAAAUCUCAUAAAAAAAAAAACUCUGGUUCUUACAAAGUUCAAUCUCUCUAAUUCUAUACAAAUCUUCUUUCUCUAUUAUUUUUUUCACAAUCUAUUCUCGGGC